GCAACCGUAGCUCAGCUGGAUAGAGUGAAGGUUUCCGAAACCUUAGGUCGCAGGUUCGACUCCUGCCGGUUGCACCA
rnacentral:tRNA from 1 species